CGCAUGAGUCGCACGAACGAUGAACUGCCAUGUGCACGAUGACUUUGGAGAUCGUGGUGAUCGGAGUAAAACUGGCUUCAACUAACAUAUAAAGGAGAGACAUGGCCAAGAAGAGGAAAAGAGUAAAAUAAAUCUAAAUUCAAAUACAUCAAAAUCCUUACUCCAAUUCGGAUGAUUUUUAGGGUUUCUUUUUCCAUAGAUUCUGGAUUUUCCUUCGGAUAAUUAUGGUUCAGAAAGUGCUACGUUUUGGUUAUUGUGUGGUGAAUUGGGUUCACCAAUCUGGACAACAAAGCUCAGGAGUGAAUUGCAUGGUACACCAUGUUUAGUUUGAAUAGAAAUCCAAAUUCAGUCACAAUCAGCCAAUGGGUUACACACCAAUCAUGUCUUAUGUUAUCGAAGACAAGGUUUGUAUUGAUGACCUCUGCAAAACGAUAAAGCUUCAAUUACUUAGUACUAGAGAUAGGCCGGUGCAUUUUGGAAUAGGAUCGGACCAAAUGAUUUAGUGUUUUAGUAGGCUAAACACUGUGAAAAAUAAAUUUGAUAUUUUUUUUCCUAUUUUUAUACUUCGUUUAUUGGCUUCACAAAUCAUCAAUCUCCACAUUGUACAUUUGU